rnacentral:rRNA from 1 species
CCCUUAGAUGUUCUGGGCCGCACGCGCGCUACACUGAUCGAUUCAACGAGUUUUGAAAUAAUUUUUUGAUUUUUUCAUAUCCUUUGUCGGAAGGCAUGGGUAAUCUUUUAAAUGUCGAUCGUGAUGGGGCUAGAUUCUUGCAAUUAUUAAUCUCCAACGAGGAAUUCCUAGUAAACGCAAGUCAUCAGCUUGCAUUGAUUACGUCCCUGCCCUUUGUACACACCGCCCGUCGCACCUACCGAUUGGGUGUGCUGGUGAAAUGUUCGGAUCGGCCGUUUGUCGCGGUUUCCGCGUCAUGUGGCUGAGAAGUUCAUUAAACCCUCCCACCUAGAGGAAGGAGAAGUCGUAACA